GUUCUGUUUACGGACUGGGCCUGUCGUGUCAGAAUCCAUAUUUUCACAUGUCUAUGAAUCAUCGCACGUUUGGCUUUUUAUAGAUAGGAACCGGGUUCUCAUAGUAUUAUGAUUCUUUAAAGUAUGAUCCAAAAUCAAAUCAAGCAACGAAACGAACAGUGAAAUGGCAGAUCGCCUACAUUAUAAGGCUACAACAACAUGCGAUCCUAAACUCGAAUAUCAAAAGACAGCGAUUAUCACAGUGAACAUACAGCUAAAAGACAUGAAUCUAAAAACAGAGAACUUAUGAGAAGAAUCAGAGACCUAACAGCAGAGAGAAGACGAAGAUCGAAAACCUUAAGAGGGAGAGAGAGAGGAGUCUCACCUGCAAGUAACUAUCAGGGAGAGGAGUCUUGCGGCUACGUGAGUGAGAAAUAUGAGUCUAGGGUUUUCGCAUCCUCCUUGUGAUUCUUCUUUUACCAUUUUGCCCUUAUGCGUUUUGGGCCUUUUCUAUUUUAUUUUUUUCUGUUUCU
rnacentral:lncRNA from 1 species